rnacentral:tRNA from 1 species
GCAGUGGUAGUUCAGUGGUAGAAACCUUACCUUUCAUACGGGAGACCUGGGUUUGAUUCCCAGCCAGUGCA